CAGCCAUGCCGCGUGUGUGAAGAAGGCCUUCGGGUUGUAAAGCACUUUCAGUCAGGAGGAAAGGUUAGUAGUUAAUACCUGCUAGCUGUGACGUUACUGACAGAAGAAGCACCGGCUAACUCCGUGCCAGCAGCCGCGGUAAUACGGAGGGUGCGAGCGUUAAUCGGAAUUACUGGGCGUAAAGCGUACGCAGGCGGUUUGUUAAGCGAGAUGUGAAAGCCCCGGGCUCAACCUGGGAACUGCAUUUCGAACUGGCAAACUAGAGUGUGAUAGAGGGUGGUAGAAUUUCAGGUGUAGCGGUGAAAUGCGUAGAGAUCUGAAGGAAUACCGAUGGCGAAGGCAGCCACCUGGGUCAACACUGACGCUCAUGUACGAAAGCGUGGGGAGCAAACAGGAUUAGAUACCCUGGUAGUCCACGCCGUAAACGAUGUCUACUAGAAGCUCGGAACCUCGGUUCUGUUUUUCAAAGCUAACGCAUUAAGUAGACCGCCUGGGGAGUACGGCCGCAAGGUUAAAACUCAAAUGAAUUGACGGGGGCCCGCACAAGCGGUGGAGCAUGUGGUUUAAUUCGAUGCAACGCGAAGAACCUUACCUACACUUGACAUACAGAGAACUUACCAGAGAUGGUUUGGUGCCUUCGGGAACUCUGAUACAGGUGCUGCAUGGCUGUCGUCAGCUCGUGUUGUGAGAUGUU
rnacentral:rRNA from 1 species